rnacentral:rRNA from 1 species
UACGGGGGGUGCGAGCGUUGUCCGGAAUCACUGGGCGUAAAGGGCGCGUAGGUGGCAUGAUAAGGGUGUGGUGAAAGCCCGGGGCUCAACCCCGGGUCGGCCGUGGCAACUGCUGGGCUGGAGCACUGUAGAGGCAGGUGGAAUUCCGGGUGUAGCGGUGGAAUGCGUAGAGAUCCGGAAGAACACCGGUGGCGAAGGCGGCCUGCUGGGCAGUAGCUGACGCUGAUGCGCGACAGCGUGGGGAGCAAACAGG